GGGGUUGUAGCUCAGUGGUAGAGUGCUUGUCUUGCACAUGUGAGGCACUGGGUUAGAUCCUCAGCACCA
rnacentral:tRNA from 1 species